rnacentral:lncRNA from 1 species
GACCUGCACCAAGGCCGCCAGCGCGAAGAAGGCGGCCAUGAGUCCGUUGCAGGCCCGCCACAGCGCUGGCGCCAUGGCUCGGAGAACACGGCGCGGGGCGCACCUGACAUACCUGGAUAUAAACAAUAUCCAAGGCCCCUAAGGUAAAAGCCUUGCUCCAAGUCCCCUUCUGACUUCUAGUCACUUCCGUGCUGCCAGCAGAGGGCGUGGGAUUCUUCCUGAGGAGCCUGAGUCUCAGCUUUGCCAGGUCCUUGCUGUGUGACCUUGGACGAAGAAGAGGCACUAGGUGCAUGCCUACACAGAGGAAAGCCAUGUGAGGACACAGCGAUAAGAUUGCUGACUGCAAGCUCAGGAGAACUUAGAAGAAACCAACCCUACCAGCACCUUGAUCUUGGACUUCCAGCCUCCAGAACUGUGAGAAAGAAAGAGACAAAGGAGAUAGAAGAAGUGGAAUAAGGGGAAAGAUAAGAACUGGAAAGCUGAACCAUAGCCCAGACCCAAGCAGGAGAAAGAGCAAGAAAUGCCUAUGAGAAAGCCGGAAAGAAACCCCUGGAAUUUGGAAGAAAAUGUCUAAAAGGGAAUGGCAAGGAACCUGAGGAACCAGCGUGAGGAAAACCUGGAUGAUCUGACGUCUUCCUCACUUUAUCCCUACCUGUCCACGCCUCCAUCCAUCCACCCAUCCAUCACUGAUCAAGCUCUCACUAUGUCUAUAGUGUAGAAGGUGCCACCAAAUGCAAUGGAACCUCUUGUCUCAUGUGUCUACUUGCAUCUUUAAGUUGAUACACGGAAGGCACAGUCCAAGCACAGGAUACUGGAAGCUAUGGAGGUACAGUGGCCUCUGAGCAAACUGAAAACUCUCUAUCACUAAAGGGUUGGGCAUACAGGGUAUCUCCUCUGCUCUGCCACCUACCUUGAGGAUGCUUUACAUGUGGCUAAAAGUGGAGGCAGAGAUAUUUGGAUAAAUAAAUGCUAGAGAAUUGGAAAUUCCUAGGACAAGUCAA